AAUAAUCUUACAACGCCCAACAAUACCCUCUUCAUCUUCAUUCUCUGAGUAUCUCAUCCAAAUAAUCAGGUUUUGAAUUUACUCAAUGAAGAUGAUGAGAGCUUUGUUCUUUACUCUACUUUUUACUCUCAUAAUAAUCCCUUUUUCACAAGCACGACCAAUUUUCCCUCGGCCGCAGAUUCGCCCAUCUUUCAAAAUCAACACGACCGAGAAUCGAAGAAGCUGUUCAUUUACGGUGAGCAUAAGGACAAGUUGCUCUUCAAUCCGGUAUACUCGAGACCACAUCAGUCUUGCGUUUGGUGAUGCUUAUGGAAACCAGGUUCUACUUCAGAAGCCCAAUUAUAAUGUUUGGUUAAGCCUAAAAGUUUACUUUCAAGUAAAUAAAUUUUGGAAUAAUGAUGUUGUUGGCGUGAAAGUUGAAAAUAAAAUUUCCUUUUUCUUUUUUUUCUUUUUUCUUUUUGUAUGUUGCUAGCAGAUUGUUAGGUGAAGCAGCAUUUAAAAAAAAGAAAAAAAGAAAAAAAGAAAAAAAAGGAAAAGAGAAGUCUUUUGACAAUAAGCAAGGGUUCUUAUUCAUUUUUUACUUUAGAAAGAAAGGGAAAAAAGGAAAAAAAGGGGAAGUCAGUCAGGCAGUCCGCCUUUUUUUUCUUUUUGUAUGUUGCUAGGAGAUUGUUAGGUGAAGCAGUAUUUUAAAAAAAAAA